CACUGAGGGAAAAAUCCCGUUGCGAAAUCAAGCACGUAUGUUGUCAUUUUCGCAACGACCCGUUGUUAUUUUUUUCAACAACGGCUGUUGGUGAAUUGUACAUGAACGUGCUCAAAUUGACACCGAGACGUGGUCAACUUUCGGUACCAACAACAGCCGUGCUUAAUUUGUCCACCGAUGUGCUCAAAAUGACAACGUUGGGUUUUUAAUAUUGGUAAUUGCAGCCGAUUACACACGAGUAAAAAAUGACAACGGUGGUGCAUGAUUCACACACGGUCGUUGUCAAUAUGACACCGGUCGUGUAUGAAUUAUGCACCACCACCUGCAUAAUGAUGCACCACCGUUGUUACUUUGUACACCGACGUGCAUGAAUCGUACACGAUCGUUGCCAUUUUAGCAACUACCGUGUAUGAAUCAUGCACCACCGUUGUCAUUUUCUUACUCGUGUGCAAUCGGCUGCAUAUUUUCCAUUUUUCCGUGUUAUUGAAAGAAAAAGGACGCAUUGUGCAAAAAUUUAUUGAAAAUGAAUAAUAAUUCGCAAGAUGCUCAAAAUAUUAUUGGUGAGUUGUUAGAAAUCGAUGGCAAUAUUGUUGUGGUUCGCGAUACAAGCCAUUGCAGCAGUCAAGAUGCGGAAAACAAUGAGGACGAUUAUAUGUUAAGGGAGUUCUUAAAAGGAAUAAAUAUGUAGUCUCUUUUUGAACAAUUAAAAGCAUCACAUGUAUCAUUUCGCAGUUUGCGAAAAAAGAAGAUUUAAAGGAAGCAGUGCCACCAUUGGGACUGCGUGUUGAAUUCUGAGAAAAGCUCUUUGCUUGGAAAAAACGAGAGCUCGGGAUUGAUGACGAAACUAUGUCAGUUUAAAAUAGGUGAAUGGUGGAAACGCAACGAGACACCUACAAGUACUCCUGGUACUCCCGACACUACAGGUUCGAACUGCUCAAAAGCCAAAGGAAUUUUGUCAGAGGAUCUAACGGAAUUGUUAACACAUACCUCGAAGGGGAACCUACGCUUGACUGUAGAAGCGUUAAUAAGAAAUUAAGUGACGAGCAAAGAAAUGAUAUAAUUAAUAUAAUUAUUGAAGAUAUUUUAACCAACAAUGUUGCUCUUUACACUCAAGACUAUAUGCGCAUAUUGGACGAAAUUUGUUCCGUUUUUCCUCUUGAAAACGAAAUGAGGGAUUAUUAUUACAUUUCAACAACAACGCAGAACGACGCAAGCGGAAAACUUUAUGCCAAGUAUAGAAACAAGAAGCCCAAAAGAAUAAAGCUUUUGAUUUCCGAACCUAGCACAAGCAAAGCAGCAACUCACACGUCUCCUAAUUUUUGUAACAAAGAUGUUCCCGAAAUUAAUGAAUUAGUUGAGAUUCAUUGAAAGCUUCCUUACUAAGAGAAUGUAAUGAUUGGGGAUCGAUCUGCAAAAAAUGGAAAAGAUCUUUUAACAUACGGCAAAGAGAUAUAAAAAAAUGGCCGAAGUUGUCCGAUGCAAGAGUUUCAGAAUUGGUAAGUAGCCAUGAGUCAAAUAUUUAUGUAUGGCAUUUUACUUAUAUCCUAUGAAUAAUGGAAAAGUUUAUUUCAGAUUAAAGUUAAUUUAAUUUGUUUCUAUACAUUAAAUAUAUGUAAUUCAAAUUGUUUUGUUAAAUUAAAUAUGUAUUUAUAUUGAAUGUAUUUAUAUUGAAUUUAUGUAAUUGGUUUCGUUCAUUAAAAAUUUAAAAAAAUUUCGUUUCUUUUACUAAGGGUAUAAAAUGGGAAAGGAACGGAUAUCAAAAAAAAUGACCACCAUUGGUUUCAAUCUGACAACGGACGUUGACAAUCCGACAACGGAGCGUUGACAAUCUGACAACGAAGCGUUGACAAUCUGACAACGGGGCGUGCUCGAAAUGACCACGUAUGUGCUCAUUUCAUGCACGUCUGUUGUUGAAACCGUUGCCAAAAUCUCGGUGUCAAAAUGACAACGGCGUGCUCAUUUUGAUACCAAACGUGGUUGAUACACUAUCAUACACGGAUGUGGU